AUAGCCAAUUAAUUGUUGGCCGGUAUGAAUGGCAUCACGAGGGCCCCCCUGUCUUAAGAGGACUCUCCAUGAAAUUGAAUUCGUAGUGAAGAUGCUACGUCCAUAUUGUAAGACGAAAAGUCCCCAUUGAGCUUUACUAAAGACUUAUAUGGCUCGAAUAACUUAAAUAAAAAGUUUAGAUAAUGUGGGAUCCGUUUUUGGUUAAUGAGACACCACUCUUUUAUUUUAAGAGAACUAACCUUAUAGGGAGAAUGUAAGUUAGAUAGUUUGGUUGGGGCGACCACCUUUUAAAAGGUAACGAAGGUGAGCUUAAGGUCCGUAGUUAAUAGCUAGAGGCCUGACUGCAAGGGGGACAUCCCGAGCAGACACAUCCUUAAGG
rnacentral:rRNA from 1 species